rnacentral:rRNA from 1 species
UACGUAGGGGGCAAGCGUUGUCCGGAAUUACUGGGCGUAAAGCGCGUGUAGGUGGUGGCUUAAGCGUGCGGUGAAAGCUCGGAGCUCAACUCCGAGUCGGCCGUGCGAACUGGGCUCACUGGAGCAUAGUAGAGGCAGGUGGAAUUCCGGGUGUAGCGGUGGAAUGCGUAGAGAUCCGGAAGAACACCGGUGGCGAAGGCGGCCUGCUGGGCUAUGGCUGACACUGAGGCGCGACAGCGUGGGGAGCAAACAGG